AGCCAUAGAUAUCUAUAAGGCUAGCAACCAUUCAGGUGCCAUUGUGUCGCAUCAGGGAACCAAGGAAAUGCUUAAGGAUUGGCGUGAUAACACCUCUCAAGAACAACAACGGCCAAUCCUGAAGAAAGCGCUGAAAGACGCAGGCUUAGUCAGGCUAGCUGAAAAAUAUUUGGGAGGUGAAGCGGCUACGGGCACGGGGCAAGCUGGCAGAAGUGGAACUGAAACACAUUCAGGUAAAAAAAAAAAAAAAAAAAAAA